GUCCAACUGAUUGCUUUAAUUAUAUAUCUCCACAAAGAUCUAUCGCAUACAUUGCCUGCCCUCCAGGUGCUUGACAGAGAGAAAAUCCUGAAAAGCUCAAGAGGAACAAUAUUUGUAGAAAUUCCUGAAAAUCAAGCAUUUAUUCAACAUUGAGCAAAUGUUUGCAUGCUUACUGUGUGGAGUACAAGAAAAGCAAGGACAAACUACGUUUAAUAUUCUGGUGGAGCAAUAGGGAUGUGACUACAAAUACUAUUCAGAAUAAAUCUGGCUUUAUUUAAAGAAAAACAAACUAAAACCUACCCCAAAUACCUCAGACUGGAAUAUUUUAUCUUUGCUUCUGGCAUGAAAACGAUGGUUGCUAAGAGAUCCAGAGAAGUGAAAAGAAAAAUGAGACAAAGGAGGCUGAAAUAAUGUUUGCCUGGUUACUCAGAACACCAUGCAGGAGCAACAGGGAAGUAUGAAAAUCAAAGGACUCAAAACAAUUUAAAGCAAUUCGAAUUCUGUGUUAUCAACAGGCACCAUUCCCACAAUUAUGAGUUUUAUCCAGAUUAUCUGGAUCUGAGCCAACACAAAAAUGAAAUCUGAAACCCACAGCUGGGAGUUUCUCUAGAAAUUCUUCUUUAAAUGUUGGGGCAUUAAGGAGAAAGCACAGAGAAAAGAAAGGUGGUGAGAGAGGAAGGAAGGAAGAGACCUACGGUGAGUGUAGU
rnacentral:lncRNA from 1 species